rnacentral:misc_RNA from 1 species
GAUGCAGAACGCAGCGAAAUGCGAUAAGUAAUGUGAAUUGCAGAAUUCAGUGAAUCAUCGAAUCUUUGAACGCACAUUGCGCCCCUUGGUAUUCCGAGGGGCAUGCCUGUUCGAGCGUCAUUAUAACCCCUCAAGCUCAGCUUGGUGUUGGGGCCUGCCGCACGGGCAGCCCUUAAAAUCAGUGGCGGUGCCAUCUGGCUCUAAGCGUAGUAAUUCUUCUCGCUAUAGAGUCACGGUGGAUGCUUGCCAUUAACCCCCAAUUUUCAAUGGUUGACCUCGGAUCAGGUAGGGAUACCCGCUGAACUUAAGCAUAUCAAUAAGCGGAGGA